rnacentral:rRNA from 1 species
GAGUUUGAUCCUGGCUCAGAACGAACGUUGGCGGCGUGGAUUAGGCAUGCAAGUCGAACGAAUCCCCUUGCUGUAGCAAUACAGUGAGGGGGGAAGUGGCGAAAGGGGCAGUAAUGUAUGGGUAACCUACCCGGGGGUCGUGGAUAGCCUUCCUAACGGAUGGGUAAUACACGGCGAUUCAGCGAGAUGGCAUCACCUUGCUGGGAAAGAAUUUCGCCUCCGGAGGGGCUCAUAUCGUAUUAGCUAGUUGGUGAGGUAACGGCUCACCAAGGCGAAGAUGCGUAGCGGGUGUGAGAGCACGACCCGCGCCACUGGCACUGAGACACUGGCCAGACACCUACGGGUAGCUGCAGUCGAGGAUCUUCGGCAAUGGGCGCAAGCCUGACCGAGCGACGCCGCGUGGAGGAUGAAGGCCUUCGGGUUGUAAACUCCUGUCGAGGGGGAUCAAGGGGCAACCUUGAGUGAUCCCUGGAGGAAGCACGGGCUAAGUUCGUGCCAGCAGCCGCGGUAAGACGAACCGUGCGAACGUUGUUCGGAAUCACUGGGCAUAAAGGGCGCGUAGGCGGCUUUUCAAGUCAGGGGUGAAAUCCGGCAGCUUAACUGUCGAAGUGCCCUUGAUACUGAUGAGCUCGAGGGAGGUAGGGGUGUGUGGAACUUCCGGUGGAGCGGUGAAAUGCGUUGAUAUCGGAAGGAACGCCGGUGGCGAAAGCGACGCUCUGGACCUCUUCUGACGCUGAGGCGCGAAAGCUAGGGGAGCAAACGGGAUUAGAUACCCCGGUAGUCCUAGCCCUAAACGAUGGGUACUCAGAUCAGUGGACUUCAACAUGGGUUCACUGUGCCGAAGCUAAUGUGUUAAGUACCCCGCCUGGGGAGUAUGGUCGCAAGGCUGAAACUCAAAGGAAUUGACGG